GGGACUUCAACCGUGAUGAUGGGCAACGGUUUAAGUGCUUCUGUUCGUGGUGUUGGCACGGUCGAUCUGAAGUUUACUUCGGGGAAGAUCGUGCGGCUGAAGAACGUGCAUUAUGUCCCCUCCGUCAAUAAAAAUCUUGUUAGCGAAUCUCUUCUGUGUAGAGAUGGCUAUAAGCUUGUCUUCGAGUCAAAUAAAUUUGUAAUAUCCAAGUAUGGAACCUUUGUUGGUAAAGGCUAUGAGUCAGGAGGCCUGUUUCGUUUAUCCUUAUCAGACGUUUGCAAUAAAGUUGUUAAUCAUAUUUGCAACAAUAGUGAAUCAAAUGUGUGGCAUUCA
rnacentral:rRNA from 1 species